UCUUCUCAUUGUGAAAUCUCUAUUCGUCUCUCUAUCUAGUGUGAAACUCUAGACCAUAGAACGUACCUACCCGUCAACACUCUUCUUCGCCAUUGUGGAACCCUACAAGAAAAUUUGAAGGUAUAAUCUCUAUAUACUUGUAUAUAUCUGUGUGUGUGUAUAUAUAUAUAUCUAACUCUUAAAGGUUUUGAUUUCAUUUGCAUUCAGAUUCGUUGUUGGUAUCCAGAUUUCAUCCAUUGGAACUCAGAAUACCAUAGUUAUUUCAGUCUCGGACUCAGUUCCCCUCCAUUCUCUCUUCUGUUUUGGGUACCAGUUUCUCAUCUCUCUCUAUACAUCCCAUUUUUUGAGAUAUAUAUACAUAUAUUUAUGUAUGGGAGAUAUAUAUACAUAUAUUUCUGUUUAGAAGAAUUAAUCUUUUAUUAAUUCUUAUACACUCUAUUGCUAAGCACUCAUUAAGUUUGGGAGAAUAGUCUCUCUUUAAACAUGAGUUCAUAGUUAGUUUUGGUUCAACUCAUUUCAUGAUUGUUAGUGCCUGCAAGCAUCAAGUUUAGUCCUAGAUUAGUUCCCAAUUCCUGUAAUUUCCUUGUGUGUUGAGUCUGUAAGAUUUGGGAUUGUGAGAUAUAAAAAUAUGUAUCAGCAAUAUCGGUCAGAGUCUGACCAAUAUCAGAUUUAAUUGCUUUGGGAUUGAGAAUCCCACACACUCUUGAACCCAAAAUCUUAUAAAAUUCUGGUUAUGUUUAUGUCCUUCAUAUUCCUUAGUAAAAGGGUUUUUUUUUUUUGGAAAUCAAAGCUAGGAUAUCCUUCAACUGAUAAAGAAUCAAGGUUACAAAGGUUAACAAGCCAACUGGGCUUGUGAGACACUCUGAAACACUUGAUUUGCAAUUGAGAACCCAUUUGCCAAGAGCAUGGGCAGUGCUAUUACAACCUCUAGGAGUCCAAACAAGGCUAACGGCUGUGUUCUGCAGCAAAAAUCCGAUGUCCGUAGCAAAAGGGUUGAAAUAGUUGCAUUUAUGUUUUUUUAAGUUUCACUUUUUGUAGACAAAGGCCUUUACACUGUUACACACAUACAUGUGAGUUUAUAUAUAGAUAGAAAUCUACGUUAAAAAUUUUACUUUCGAUUUGAGCUUAGGUUAGAAAAAUCAAGCAAAAAAUAAAGUUAAUCUCUGUUUAAUUUUGGAUUAGAUUACUCCAAAACAUAAAAAUUCCAAAAACUUAGGCUCUGUAUGUUUGCGAGUAAAAUAUUUUUUUGAAAUUAUUUUUAUUUUUAUUUUUUUGGUGUUUGGUUGACCCAAAAUCGAUUUAAAUUUUUUACCUAGUAAAAUAUUUUAUCAAUAGGUUACAAAAACAACUUGUGUCUGCAUUUUGGGGAAGUUAUUUUACAGACUCAACCCGAUUGAAUUGUAUCAUUGAGCUCAGCCUCCACCACAGGCCCCGACGACCUCAACCUCCUUCGCCCCCCCCCCCCCCCCCCUUCUCAUUGUGAAAUCUCUAUUCGUCUCUCUAUCUAGUGUGAAACUCUAGACCAUAGAACGUACCUACACGUCAACACUCUUCUUCGCCAUUGUGGAACCCUACAAGAAAAUUUGAAGAUUUGUUGUUGGUAUCCAGAUUUCAUCCAUUGGAACUCAGAAUACCAUAGUUAUUUCAGUCUCGGACUCAGUUCCCCUCCAUUCUCUCUUCUGUUUUGGGUACCAGUUUCUCAUCUCUCUCUAUACAUCCCAUUUUUUGAGAUAUAUAUACAUAUAUUUAUGUAUGGGAGAUAUAUAUACAUAUAUUUCUGUUUAGAAGAAUUAAUCUUUUAUUAAUUCUUAUACACUCUAUUGCUAAGCACUCAUUAAGUUUGGGAGAAUAGUCUCUCUUUAAACAUGAGUUCAUAGUUAGUUUUGGUUCAACUCAUUUCAUGAUUGUUAGUGCCUGCAAGCAUCAAGUUGUGUCCUAGAUUAGUUCCCAAUUCCUGUAAUUUCCUUGUGUGUUGAGCCUGUAAGAUUUGGGAUUGUGAGAUAUAAAAAUAUGUAUCAGCAAUAUCGGUCAGAGUCUGACCAAUAUCAGAUUUAAUUGCUUUGGGAUUGAGAAUCCCACACACUCUUGAACCCGAAAUCUUAUAAAAUUCUGGUUAUGUUUAUGUCUUUCAUAUUCCUUAGUAAAAGGGUUUUUUUUUUUUUGGAAAUCAAAGCUAGGAUAUCGUUCAACUGAUAAAGAAUCAAGGUUACAAAGGUUAACAAGCCAACUGGGCUUGUGAGACCACUCUGAAACACUUGAUUUGCAAUUGAGAACCCAUUUUCCAGGAGUAUGGGCAGAGCUAUUACAACCUCUAGGAGUCCAAGCAAGGCUAACGGCUGUGUUCUGCAGCAAAAGGGUUCAAAUAGUUGCAUUUAUAUUUUUUUAAGUUUCAUUUUUUACGAAAUGCAAAAUUAAUUGAACCAUUGGCAACUAGUUUGAAUUGAUUAUCCAACAAAUUCUAAUGUUGUAUCCUUGUUAACAGUUUCUAUCCUUGUUAACAGUUUUGUAGUAUUCUUUUUUCUAUGUAAUUUAUGUUCAGAAUACUUACCAUAAAACAGAUUUAGAAUCUAAAUAAAACACUUGGCAAUGAGUUCUUUUAAAUAGUUUUGCACCCAUUGUAUGGACUGUUUCAUUCAAUGUCGUAGCAUUUUGGGAUCUCCUUGUGCUUUUCUUGAUAGUAAACAAUGGACUGCUCAUAUCAAUAAUUCUUCACAUGUUACACCUAUGCUUAGUUUUACUGAAAGCAUCUUUAUAGACUUAGAUGUCUUGUAUCAUUUGGGCUUUAAACUUUGUUGAUUCAUUUGACCUAUAGGCUCGAUAAAAUCACAAGCAAAGAAAGCAUAAUUUCGAGCUUCUCUUUAAUUUACUGUUCUUUCAUCAAUGUCUGCUCCAUGUGUACUAUAUAUUCAUUUGUGAACUGUUACUUGUUGCCUGUUUAGUGAGCUGUACAGUAACUAACUUGGACUUGUAUGUGAUAAUCUGAUUAACUUCAUAACAUGAACUUAUUUAAUGGACUGUUAGUUCUGAAUUAUAUCUAUUCUUUUGGUUGCCAAUGUUAACUUUGGGUUGUUUCUUAGAGUAUAAUCGUGGAUGAGAAAUUAAUCAUAACGAUUUAACAUUUAAUUUGUAGGUAAAUGCGACAUUCAAAAUUGAUUUAUUCCCCCAUAUCGUGGCGUUUGAUGUCAUUUGAAAGAAUAUAGUAACCGUCCUCCGGAAAAUGAAAGAGAGUUGCUCAAUCUUCGACACUCUUCUUUACGGACCUCCAUUGAACGUGAUUUUGGUGGAGUAAAGAAACAUUUCCGUGUGUUUGAUGCCGAGCCUUUUUGGGACCAUCCAACCCAAGUUAAUGUGGUACUAGCAUGGUGUUUCUUACACAACCACAUAAUGGAAGUUGAUCCAAAUGACGGGAUUAUGCAAUACACCAACGAUGAGUGUCAAACCCCAACAAACACAAAGAGAAGAGUAGAGAGGGCAGGAAGUGAGGAGUAGGUACUUGUAUCUAUAGGUAUCGGUGUUUAAUAGGUUGAUAUAGGAUGAUUUUUUAUAAGUAGUUUUAUGUUAAUUUGAAUUUCUGGGUGUGUUUGUUGUAUAUAGGAAUUUUGGUGGUGCAUGUUUGGAAUGCUUUGAUACUUGGCUUGAUUUAUUUUAUUUUAUUUAUUUGAAUAAAAUAAAUCUAGCUCUCAAUCUAUUUAAAAAAAUGUAUUUAGUUGAAUGUGA